GAUGAACGCUGGCGGCGUGCCUAACACAUGCAAGUCGAACGGACAUUUUUUGGAAAGCUCUUCGGAACUGGAAUCUAAAUGUUAGUGGCGGACGGGUGAGUAACGCGUGAGCAAUCUGCCUUUCAGAGGGGGAUAACAGCCGGAAACGGCUGCUAAUACCGCAUAAUGUGUUUUGGGGGCAUCCCCGGAACACCAAAGAUUUAUCGCUGAAAGAUGGGCUCGCGUCUGAUUAGCUAGUUGGUGGGGUAACGGCCUACCAAGGCGACGAUCAGUAGCCGGACUGAGAGGUUGAACGGCCACAUUGGGACUGAGAUACGGCCCAG
rnacentral:rRNA from 1 species